rnacentral:rRNA from 1 species
GGCAACUACGGGCCGGCGGCCGUGGGUGUACGGAGGGUGCGGGGGGGUGCCGGAAUUACUGGGCGUAAAGAGGUCGUAUGUGGUGUGUCGCGUUGUUCGUGAAAACUCACAGCUUAACUGUGGGCGGGCGGGCGAUACGGGCAGACUAGAGUACUGCAGGGGAGACUGGAAUUCCUGGUGUAGCGGUGGAAUGCGCAGAUAUCAGGAGGAACACCGGUGGCGAAGGCGGGUCUCUGGGCAGUAACUGACGCUGAGGAGCGAAAGCGUGGGGAGCGAACAGGAUUAGAUACCCCUGUAGUC